UUAAGAUCUGCUAAUGGCAUAAGCCUUCUCUGCUGACAGGACACCCCAUGUGCUAACUUUCCGCUUGGGUCCCCCGAUAUAAAGUCUGCUGAUAAAAGUUGCUCAGCACCGUCAGGCUUAUCAAUGGACUUUGUACCAGAAUUCUCUCCUGAAAUGAACUAUCUUCUUAAUUUCCACCAUUUCCCACUUCUUUCUGUCAUGAAGCCAUUUCUACCUGGGAAGAAUAAAGAAAAACUGCAUGAGGAUGAGAAAGUUGAACUGCUUCCCCCUCCCCCAAGCCUGCUCUUUUCCUUUUUAGUCCUACUUCAGGUAAGACACAAUAAGUACCUCUAUUAUGAUUCUAGAGGAGGGGAGAGGAAAAACCUAGAGCAAAAUCCAGAGAUAC
rnacentral:lncRNA from 1 species